rnacentral:misc_RNA from 1 species
UACGGAGGGUGCGAGCGUUAUUCGGAAUUACUGGGCGUAAAGCGCGCGUAGGUGGCUUGAUAAGCCGGUUGUGAAAGCCCCGGGCUCAACCUGGGAACGGCAUUCGGAACUGGCAGGCUAGAGUGCAGGAGAGGAAGGUAGAAUUCCCGGUGUAGCGGUGAAAUGCGUAGAGAUCGGGAGGAAUACCAGUGGCGAAGGCGGCCUUCUGGACUGACACUGACACCGAGGUGCGGAAGCGUGGGGAACAAACAGG